CCCUUAGAUGUUCUGGGCCGCACGCGCGCUACACUGAUGCAUGCAACAAGUCUUUUCCUUGGCCGAGAGGCCUGGGCAAUCUUUGAAUAUGCAUCGUGAUGGGGAUAGACGAUUGCAAUUAUUCGUCUUCAACGAGGAAUUCCUAGUAAACGCAAGUCAUCAGCUUGCAUUGAUUACGUCCCUGCCCUUUGUACACACCGCCCGUCGCACCUACCGAUUGAAUGGUCCGGUGAAGGCUUCGGAGGCGGCUUUCUCAAUGUUUAUUCGGCGAUACUGCUGCCAAAGUUGAGUGAACCUUACCAUUUAGAGGAAGGUGAAGUCGUAACA
rnacentral:rRNA from 1 species